CCAUUGCAAAGUUGCAUGGAAACAGCAAAUGGAUCCAUUGCAAAGUUGCGUGGAGAGGAGAGGUGGAUGCAUUGCAGAGUUGCAUGGAAACAGGAGGUGGAUCCAUUGCAAAGUUGCAUGGAAACGGGAAGUGGAUGCAUUGCAGAGUUGCAUGGAAACAGGAGGUGGAUCCAUUGCAAAGUUGCAUUGAGGUGAGAGGUGGAUCCAUUGCAAAGCUGCAUGGAAACAGCAAAUGGAUCCAUUGCAAAGUUGCGUGGAGAGGAGAGGUGGAUGCAUUGCAGAGGUGCAUGGAAAUGAGAGGCGGACGCAUUGCAAAGCUGCAUGGAGAUGGGAGGUAGAUUCACUGCAGAGUUGCAUGGAAAUGGAAGGUGGAUGCAUUGCAGAGUUGCAUGAAGACAGGAGUUGGGUUCAGUGCAAAGCUGCGUGGAGAGCAGAGGUGGAUGCAUUGCAGAGAGUCGCAUGGAAAGAGGAGGUGGAUGCAUUGCAGAGUUGCACGGAG
ensembl:lncRNA